rnacentral:rRNA from 1 species
GACGAACGCUGGCGGCGUGCUUAACACAUGCAAGUCGAACGGUGAAAGCGGAGCUUGCUCCGCUGGAUCAGUGGCGAACGGGUGAGUAACACGUGGGCAACCUGCCCCUCACUUCGGGAUAACUCCGGGAAACCGGGGCUAAUACCGGAUAUGACCUCCUUGGGCAUCCUUGGAGGUGGAAAGUUUUUCGGUGAGGGAUGGGCCCGCGGCCUAUCAGCUUGUUGGGGAGGUAGAGGCUCACCAAGGCGACGACGGGUAGCCGGCCUGAGAGGGUGACCGGCCACACUGGGACUGAGACACGGCCCAGACUCCUACGGGAGGCAGCAGUGGGGAAUAUUGCACAAUGGGCGCAAGCCUGAUGCAGCAACGCCGCGUGAGGGAUGACGGCCUUCGGGUUGUAAACCUCUUUUAGUAGGGAAGAAGCGAAAGUGACGGUACCUGCAGAAAAAGCACCGGCUAACUACGUGCCAGCCGCCGCCGUAA